rnacentral:rRNA from 1 species
UACAGAGGUCUCAAGCGUUGUCCGGAAUCAUUGGGCGUAAAGAGCGUGUAGGCGGCUCGAUAAGUCUGCUGUGAAAGUCCAGGGCUCAACCCUGGAAGGCCGGUGGAAACUGUCGGGCUAGAGUCCGGAAGAGGCGAGUGGAAUUCCCGGUGUAGCGGUGAAAUGCGCAGAUAUCAGGAGGAACACCGGUGGCGAAGGCGGUUCUCUGGGCCUAACCUGACACUGAGGAGCGAAAGCGUGGGGAGCGAACAGG